AGAAGUGCGAAUGCUGACGUGAGUAACGACAAAACGGGUGAAAAACCCGUUCGCCGAAAGACCAAGGGUUCCAGUCCAACGUUAAUCGGGGCUGGGUGAGUCGACCCCUAAGGCGAGGCCGAAAGGCGUAGUCGAUGGGAAAAUGGUUAAUAUUCCAUUACUUCUGUGUAAUGCGAUGAGAGGACGGAGAAGGCUAAAUCAGCCUGGCGUUGGUUGUCCAGGUGAAAGGAUGUAGGCAUGUAUCUUAGGCAAAUCCGGGGUACUCUAUGCUGAGAUCUGAUAGCAAGCUGUACUUGUACAGCGAAGUGGUUGAUGCCAUGCUUCCAGGAAAAGUCUCUAAGCUUCAGUUACACAGGAAUCGUACCCGAAACCGACACAGGUGGUCAGGUCGAGUAGACCAAGGCGCUUGAGAGAACUCUGCUGAAGGAACUAGGCAAAAUGGUACCGUAACUUCGGGAGAAGGUACGCUGUUGUUGGUGAUGGAACUCGCUUCCUGAGCUGACGACAGCCGCAGAAACCAGGCCGCUGCAACUGUUUAUUAAAAACAUAGCACUCUGCAAACACGAAAGUGGACGUAUAGGGUGUGAUGCCUGCCCGGUGCUGGAAGGUUAAUUGAUGGGGUUAGCGUAAGCGAAGCUCUUGAUCGAAGCCCCAGUAAACGGCGGCCGUAACUAUAACGGUCCUAAGGUAGCGAAAUUCCUUGUCGGGUAAGUUCCGACCUGCACGAAUGGCAUAAUGAUGGCGGCGCUGUCUCCAGCAGAGGCUCAGUGAAAUCGAAAUCGCUGUGAAGAUGCAGUGUACCCGCGGCUAGACGGAAAGACCCCGUGAACCUUUACUGCAGCUUGACACUGAACUUUGACCUUACUUGUGUAGGAUAGGUGGGAGGCUUUGAAGCUGGAACGCUAGUUCCAGUGGAGCCGUCCUUGAAAUACCACCCUGGUAAUGUUGAGGUUCUAACUCUGUCCCGUGAUCCGGGACGAGGACCGUGUCUGGUGGGUAGUUUGACUGGGGCGGUCUCCUCCUAAAGAGUAACGGAGGAGUACGAAGGUGCGCUCAGCGUGGUCGGAAAUCACGCGUAGAGUAUAAAGGCAAAAGCGCGCUUAACUGCGAGACCCACAAGUCGAGCAGGUACGAAAGUAGGUCUUAGUGAUCCGGUGGUUCUGUAUGGAAGGGCCAUCGCUCAACGGAUAAAAGGUACUCUGGGGAUAACAGGCUGAUACCGCCCAAGAGUUCAUAUCGACGGCGGUGUUUGGCACCUCGAUGUCGGCUCAUCUCAUCCUGGGGCUGAAGCAGGUCCCAAGGGUAUGGCUGUUCGCCAUUUAAAGAGGUACGCGAGCUGGGUUUAGAACGUCGUGAGACAGUUCGGUCCCUAUCUACCGUGGGCGCUGGAAAUUUGAGAGGAUCUGCUCCUAGUACGAGAGGACCAGAGUGGACGAACCUCUGGUGUACCGGUUGUGACGCCAGUCGCAUCGCCGGGUAGCUAUGUUCGGAAGGGAUAACCGCUGAAAGCAUCUAAGCGGGAAGCCUACCUCAAGAUAAGAUUUCCCUAGGACUUUAUGUCCUCUAAAGAGCCGUUCGAGACUAGGACGUUGAUAGGUUGGAUGUGGAAGCAUAGUGAUAUGUGAAGCUGACCAAUACUAAUUGCUCGUGAGGCUUGACUAU
rnacentral:rRNA from 1 species